rnacentral:tRNA from 1 species
GGGCGAGGGGCGGAUGGUUGCAGGAUCCGCGCCGCCAUCGAACGGUGGACGGUGUGCCGCGGCACCGCGAAGGAUCUUGCCCUUUCCCCGACUUC